AUACAGAGGGUGCAAACGUUGUUCGGAAUUACUGGGCAUAAAGCGCACGUAGGCGGUCAGGUAAGUGUGAAGUGAAAUCCCACGGCUCACCCGUGGAACUGCUUUGCAUACUGCUUGACUAGAGAAAGGUAGGGGAGAGCAGAACUCUUGGAGGAGCGGUGAAAUGCGUAGAUAUCAAGAGGAAUACCAGUGGCGAAGGCGGCUCUCUGGUCCUUUACUGACGCUGAGGUGCGAAAGCUAGGGUAGCGAACGGGAUUAGAAACCCUAGUAGUCC
rnacentral:rRNA from 1 species